rnacentral:lncRNA from 1 species
UUUGAUACGGGAGCCUCUGAGCACAUGUCCAAAGACACAACUCUCUCCACACGCUCUCUGAGAUCUUCGUACGGGGGCGCGACUAAUGCGGGGGGACAAUGAUCAUGAUGUCUACCAUGCAACCCUUAAAUCUUGGCGUCAACUCAACUCCUCAUUGCAUCAACUCAACUCUACUUCAACCAUUUCAUCACAUGACUGGCAUCAUACACUUGGACAUCCGUCUCUUCGUGUGUUCAAGACCUUAGCCAAAUGUUUAGGUCUUCAUUUUGAUUUUGAUAAUUUUCAUUGUAACUCAUGCUCGCUCAAUAAAAGUCAUAAACUCCCGUUUGGCAUGAAUUCUU